GUCUGAUUAGCGCUUCGCAGACACGCAGGGGCCUGCUCACGCGCUACCUGCGCAGGUACGAGAGCUACCUGCACAGGUACGAGAGCUACCUGCACAGGUACGAGCGCUACCUGCACAGGUACGAGAGCUACCUGCACAGGUACGAGCGCUACCUGCACAGGUACGAGAGCUACCUGCACAGGUACGAGCGCUACCUGCACAGGUACGAGAGCUACCUGCACAGGUACGAGCGCUACCUGCACAGGUACGAGCGCUACCUGCACAGGUAUGAGUGCAACCUCCGAACAGCAGGAGUCGAGCCAGAGGCGAAGCUCCAUGCUGGGUUCUUAUUUCAGCGUUUAUUACAGUUUAUCAGAGUUAGCUAUAAGCUAAUCCAUAC